rnacentral:lncRNA from 1 species
CCCAGGCACUUUGAAUCUGUCCUUAGCACAUUGGCUUCUCAUUUCCAUGGUAUUGGUGCUUUCCACAGCUCAAGAAUAACCUUUAUAUUCAAAGCAGGAAGGGGGGAGAAGAGUCACAAACACCUUUUUAAUUUGAAAACAAAGCCUUCCCCAGAAACACUUUUUUUCUACGCUUAACAGCCUUUUUUUCUUUAUGUCUUAUUGUUCAGACUGUGUUAAAUGGCCACCCCUGGCUCCAAUGGAAGUAGAGAAAAAUGAAGAUUUAACAGGGACAUUGUUCUAGCAAGGCUCAAGCUCAAAAUGAUGAUGAGACCAGCAAGAGAAUUGAUUUCACCAGCCACUUCCAGAGAGGGUGUUGAAGCUCUGCUUAUCAAGAUAGUAAGUGGAAAUCUGGGCUUGGAACUGCAACCAAGGAGAAUUCUUUGUUGUUGAAAUCAUCAAAUGUCCAGGCGGGACACCUGUGUGACUGAGUCUGUUGAGCGCCUGACUCUUGAUGAUCUCAGGGUCCUGGGAUUGAGUCACUCAUAGGGCUACAUGCUCAGUGGGGAAUCUGCUUAAGAAUUCCUCUUGCUCCUUCCCCCUCUACCCCUCCCUUGGCUGUCUCUGUCUUUCAAAAAUAAAAUAAAUAAUUUUUUUAAAAAUAAAUAAUUU